CCAGACUCCUACGGGAGGCAGCAGUGAGGAAUCUUCCACAAUGGGCGAAAGCCUGAUGGAGCAACGCCGCGUGCAGGACGAAGGCCUUCGGGUUGUAAACUGCUUUUAUAAGUGAGGAAUAUGACGGUAACUUAUGAAUAAGGAUCGGCUAACUACGUGCCAGCAGCCGCGGUCAUACGUAGGAUCCGAGCGUUAUCCGGAGUGACUGGGCGUAAAGAGUUGCGUAGGUGGUUGUAUAAGUGAAUAGUGAAAUCUGGUGGCUCAACCAUACAGGCUAUUAUUCAAACUGUACAACUCGAGAAUGGUAGAGGUCACUGGAAUUUCUUGUGUAGGAGUGAAAUCCGUAGAUAUAAGAAGGAACACCGAUGGCGUAGGCAGGUGACUGGACCAUUUCUGACACUAAGGCACGAAAGCGUGGGGAGCGAACCGGAUUAGAUACCCGGGUAGUCCACGCCGUAAACGAUGGAUACUGGCUGUUGGAGGUAUCGACCCCUUCAGUAGCGAAGCUAACGCGUUAAGUAUCCCGCCUGUGGAGUACGGCCGCAAGGCUAAAACAUAAAGGAAUUGACGGGGGCCCGCACAAG
rnacentral:rRNA from 1 species